rnacentral:miRNA from 14 species
AGCAAAAUAUCGGGUAUAAAAUUGAGUAUUGAGUAUAAAAUUAACUCGGGCUGGAGAGAUGGCUCAGCCGUUAAAGGCUAGGCUCACAACCAAAAAUAUA